CUAGCACUACUGGAGAAGCCCCGCCUCCCGCCUAGAUCAAGCUGACAGCAACCUAGGGGCUGCUUGAGAUGUACAAGCUACUCUUUUUUUUUUUUCUUGGUUCUUUUUUUCGGAGCUGGGGACCGAACCCAGAGCCUUGCGCUUCCUAGGCAAGUGCUCUACCACUGAGCUAAAUCCCCAACCCCGUACAAGCUACUCUUAAAGGGGCACCAGCAGCCUCUCAGCUUCUCUAGUAAGUAAGCCGAUGGCCAGUUGUGCUACAAAACCUCUGUGUCCAUGAGAAUCAGAUUCAGCAGGUAGCAAGGUGGUCCUCCCUUGAAAUUUCAACUAAAAGAGACAAAGAAAGCCUCUUGAUCUUCUGGGCCUGAUAGCCAAAGAUUGCCUCUGCCCUGCCCUUGAAGGUGUGGAAGAAGCUGGGACAACUGUCUAGAUCUUCGCCUGGCUGACGGACUCCAUCCAGGAUCACCUGUGGACUGCAAGCGCCUGAGCUCUGACUUGCCGUAGGCCAAUGUAAACUGGUCCAGCCGAGAUGAUUGCUCCCUGAUUUUCAGCUGAAUCAACUAAUCAGAUGCUUCUGAUAAAUGCCCCAUUGCCCAGCCUUCCUGGACCCCAGUGAACAACGUCCUAAUGUCAGCUGUAAGUACUUACAGAAGAGACUGUGUUGUCCAUUGUUUCUCCUAUCAGGCUGAAGUGCUAAGUCAAAAGAGAAACUCUCUGGCUCAGAGGAAACCCUUGAGUUAAUUCAAGGUGUGUACAUGUUGAGCCUGCACCCCCCACCCAGUAUAGCUGUAGCCAUUUUGGUCCGUGCCUGCCAGUCAUUGGCAAAGAAAAAUAGCUUGACUCAGAAGAGGGUCGUGCUGACCACAUACCCUGUUAUGUUCUGUAUGUCUGAAAGUGUUAAUCUUAAGAAUUCCCACAACCGUAAGCUCCACUUAGGACCAAUCAGUAUAAAGUUCAGUUAGAACUGUCCACUCCAACUAGCAAGAUAGCUUUUGUCAUGGCCAACCACCCUGCCAUGCUAUGUUAAUCUCAUUGUGGUUUUUGACUUUAUAAGCUGGCCCUGAGAAAUGUUUGAGGUCAUAGCUUUCAGCUCCUGAAUCUGAGCUACAGCCCUGAUGGAUCAGUCUGUGGUGUGCAUUCAAUAAACCAGCCCUGUUUACCUGAGACUAGUAUCUGAGUGGUUUGUUUGUUGUAUUUUGCCAGUUAAUUGAUAUUUAUUUUUGCCCAGAUGAUUUAUGUAUAGAAACAAGGAUAAUGAAAUAAUUUACUUUUUUUUUUUUGAGACAGAGUUUCUCUUUGUAGUCUUGGCUGCCCUGGAACUAGCUCUGUAGAAUGGGCUGGCCUUGAACUCACAGAGAUCUGCCUGCUUCUGCCUACCAAGUACUGGGAUAAAAAGCACGUGCCACUACCACCUAGCUGAAGUAGUCUACUCUUAAUGGGUUGAUGUUAGUCUUCAUCUUUAAUUCCAGUAGUACACAUUUAAUGUAAUCAGGUGUACCAGAGUUUUAUACAUACGUGUUUAUGAUAGUAAUAUCUUCUUGGGUAACUAUUCCUUUGAUUAGAAUGAAUUGUUCUUCUUUAUCUCUUCUGAUAAAUUGUACCCAAAUGCCAGCAGCACACAG